CCAUCUGUAAAGACAAGACCACAUCCUCUGCCUAGGAGCUUCAAUACCCCUGGCUUCCAGUUAUUGAAUCGUUUAACCCAAACAUCCAAAUUCAAAAAUUGCUCAGAAACAUUAGUCUUGGACAUAUACAAGAAAUAUCUUUUGUCUUUAGUCAUCUUUUCUGAAGAUUCGUUCAAAAAAUUUAUGCUGUCAAAGGUCCAGGAAGGCCUGAGUGAGCACGGAUAUGUGUAAUAUAGAAAGGGCAUAAACCUGAUUGAAUGAGAGUCCGAACAGACAAAAACAAUUGAGUCAAUUCCAAAUCGGAAGAAGAAAGUGGGGCUGUGACAAAAUUAGGAAACAUGGAGGCAAUGUAUAGUGAAUCUGGAUGUAUAUACCAUCAGGAUUAUAUCCAGUUAAUGUCUGUGUAUGAGCAUGGCCC